GAUGAACGCUGGCGGCGUGCCUAAUACAUGCAAGUCGAGCGAACAGAUGAGGAGCUUGCUCCUCUGACGUUAGCGGCGGACGGGUGAGUAACACGUGGAUAACCUACCUAUAAGACUGGGAUAACUUCGGGAAACCGGAGCUAAUACCGGCUAAUGUAUUGAACCGCAUGGUUCAAUAGUGAAAGACGGUUUUGCUGUCAAUUAUAGAUUGAUCCGCGCCGCAUUAGCUAGUUGGUAAGGUAACGGCUUACCAAGGCAACGAUGCGUAGCCGACCUGAGAGGGUGAUCGGCCACACUGGAACUGAGACACGGUCCAGACUCCUACGGGAGGCAGCAGUAGGGAAUCUUCCGCAAUGGGCGAAAGCCUGACGGAGCAACGCCGCGUGAGUGAUGAAGGUCUUCGGAUCGUAAAACUCUGUUAUUAGGGAAGAACAAAUGUGUAAGUAACUAUGCACGUCUUGACGGUACCUAAUCAGAAAGCCACGGCUAACUACGUG
rnacentral:rRNA from 1 species